rnacentral:snoRNA from 12 species
UCGCUGUGAUGAACUUGUUCCAAAGCCAUUCGUAGUUUCCACCAGAUGCCGAAAGGCUGAUGAUGGCCUAGCACCUUCCUUGGAUGUCUGAGCGA